rnacentral:rRNA from 1 species
UAGGGAAUCUACGGCAAUGGACGGAAGUCUGACCGAGCAACGCCGCGUGAGUGAAGAAGGUUUUCGGAUCGUAAAGCUCUGUUGUUAGAGAAGAACGUUGGUAGGAGUGGAAAAUCUACCAAGUGACGGUAACUAACCAGAAAGGGACGGCUAACUACGUGCCAGCAGCCGCGGUAAUACGUAGGUCCCGAGCGUUGUCCGGAUUUAUUGGGCGUAAAGCGAGCGCAGGCGGUUCUUUAAGUCUGAAGUUAAAGGCAGUGGCUUAACCAUUGUACGCUUUGGAAACUGGAGGACUUGAGUGCAGAAGGGGAGAGUGGGAUUCCAUGUGUAGCGGUAAAAUGCGGAGAUAUAUGGAGGAACACCGGUGGCGAAAGCGGCUCUCAGGUCUGUAACUGACGCUGAGGCUCGAAAGCGUGGGGAGCAAACAGG